rnacentral:rRNA from 1 species
AUUGAACGCUGGCGGCAGGCCUAACACAUGCAAGUCGCACGAGUGGCGGACGGGUGAGUACUUUCUGGGAAACUGUCAGAUGGAGGGGGAUAACUACUGGAAACGGUAGCUAAUACCGCAUACUAUCGGAUGUGCCCAGAUGGGAUGAGCUAGUAGGUGGGGUAAGGGCUCACCUAGGCGACGAUCCCUAGCUGGUCUGCGCGGAUGACCAGCCACACUGGAACUGAGACACGGUCCAGACGCCUACGGGAGGCAGCAGUGGGGAAUAUUGCACAAUGGGCGCAAGCCUGAUGCAGCGAUGCCGCGUGUAUGAAGAAGGCCUUCGGGUUGUAAAGUACUUUCAGCGAGGAGGCGUUACUCGCAGAAGAAGCACCGGCUAACUCCGUGCCAGCAGCCGCGGUAAUUC